CAAUCAAACCGGGAGAUAGCUGGUUCUCCCCGAAAGCUAUUUAGGUAGCGCCUCGUGAAUUCAUCUCCGGGGGUAGAGCACUGUUUCGGCUAGGGGGCCAUCCCGGCUUACCAACCCGAUGCAAACUGCGAAUACCGGAGAAUGUUAUCACGGGAGACACACGGCGGGUGCUAACGUCCGUCGUGAAGAGGGAAACAACCCAGACCGCCAGCUAAGGUCCCAAAGUCAUGGUUAAGUGGGAAACGAUGUGGGAAGGCCCAGACAGCCAGGAUGUUGGCUUAGAAGCAGCCAUCAUUUAAAGAAAGCGUAAUAGCUCACUGGUCGAGUCGGCCUGCGCGGAAGAUGUAACGGGGCUAAACCAUGCACCGAAGCUGCGGCAGCGAACGUAUCACCCAAGACAACUUUACGGAGUUGACGAUUGACGGAGCGAAGCGACGUCAAAGCGUUCAUUAAAGUCGAGUUGGCUUAGGGAUACGUUCGUUGGGUAGGGGAGCGUUCUGUAAGCCUGUGAAGGUGUGUCGUGAGGCAUGCUGGAGGUAUCAGAAGUGCGAAUGCUGACAUAAGUAACGAUAAAGCGGGUGAAAAGCCCGCUCGCCGGAAGACCAAGGGUUCCUGUCCAACGUUAAUCGGGGCAGGGUGAGUCGACCCCUAAGGCGAGGCCGAAAGGCGUAGUCGAUGGGAAACGGGUUAAUAUUCCCGUACUUGGUGUUACUGCGAAGGGGGGACGGAGAAGGCUAUGUUGGCCGGGCGACGGUUGUCCCGGUUUAAGCGUGUAGGUGUGUGUUCCAGGUAAAUCCGGUUCACUUUAACACUGAGGCGUGACGACGAGGCACUACGGUGCUGAAGCAACAAAUGCCCUGCUUCCAGGAAAAGCCUCUAAGCAUCAGGUAACAUCAAAUCGUACCCCAAACCGACACAGGUGGUCAGGUAGAGAAUACCAAGGCGCUUGAGAGAACUCGGGUGAAGGAACUAGGCAAAAUGGUGCCGUAACUUCGGGAGAAGGCACGCUGACACGUAGGUGAAGUGAUUUACUCAUGGAGCUGAAGUCAGUCGAAGAUACCAGCUGGCUGCAACUGUUUAUUAAAAACACAGCACUGUGCAAACACGAAAGUGGACGUAUACGGUGUGACGCCUGCCCGGUGCCGGAAGGUUAAUUGAUGGGGUCAGCGCAAGCGAAGCUCCUGAUCGAAGCCCCGGUAAACGGCGGCCGUAACUAUAACGGUCCUAAGGUAGCGAAAUUCCUUGUCGGGUAAGUUCCGACCUGCACGAAUGGCGUAAUGAUGGCCAGGCUGUCUCCACCCGAGACUCAGUGAAAUUGAACUCGCUGUGAAGAUGCAGUGUACCCGCGGCAAGACGGAAAGACCCCGUGAACCUUUACUAUAGCUUGACACUGAACAUUGAGCCUUGAUGUGUAGGAUAGGUGGGAGGCUUUGAAGUGUGGACGCCAGUCUGCAUGGAGCCGACCUUGAAAUACCACCCUUUAAUGUUUGAUGUUCUAACGUGGACCCGUAAUCCGGGUUGCGGACAGUGUCUGGUGGGUAGUUUGACUGGGGCGGUCUCCUCCUAAAGAGUAACGGAGGAGCACGAAGGUUGGCUAAUCCUGGUCGGACAUCAGGAGGUUAGUGCAAUGGCAUAAGCCAGCUUGACUGCGAGCGUGACGGCGCGAGCAGGUGCGAAAGCAGGUCAUAGUGAUCCGGUGGUUCUGAAUGGAAGGGCCAUCGCUCAACGGAUAAAAGGUACUCCGGGGAUAACAGGCUGAUACCGCCCAAGAGUUCAUAUCGACGGCGGUGUUUGGCACCUCGAUGUCGGCUCAUCACAUCCUGGGGCUGAAGUAGGUCCCAAGGGUAUGGCUGUUCGCCAUUUAAAGUGGUACGCGAGCUGGGUUUAGAACGUCGUGAGACAGUUCGGUCCCUAUCUGCCGUGGGCGCUGGAGAACUGAGGGGGGCUGCUCCUAGUACGAGAGGACCGGAGUGGACGCAUCACUGGUGUUCGGGUUGUCAUGCCAAUGGCACUGCCCGGUAGCUAAAUGCGGAAGAGAUAAGUGCUGAAAGCAUCUAAGCACGAAACUUGCCCCGAGAUGAGUUCUCCCUGAGACUUAGAGUCUCCUGAAGGAACGUUGAAGACGACGACGUUGAUAGG
rnacentral:rRNA from 1 species